CUCUCUCUCUCUCUCUCUCUCUCUCUCUCUCCUGCGAAACCAGACCCAUUUUUUUUCAUUUUCGGCUUGCUACGACCCCACCUUCACGCCUCCACCACCGCCCCCACACGCCGCCACUUGGGGCGGCACCGGUCCCGUUGGAACCACCACACUCCCUACUUUCCAUUCCACCCCACCACCACCUCGAUCCGCCGCCGUGCACGCCAGAAACAGCCACGAAAGGUAGCGGUUUGGACAGAUUUUUACCAAACUUUCGACCCUUCGUUCUCUCUCAUUCCUCCACCAAAUUGGACGUGUAAGGUACUCCGACCACGCAUUCGCAGCAGGCGGGACCCUCUCAGGGUCAGGCAGUGUGGGACUACUUGUGAGUGGACUUUGUUUUCAACUUAUAAGCAUGGUUUUACAAUGAGAAUUUUAUGCAUAUGAUUAAAUAGUCAUUGAAAUGCAUGUUAUAUUUAAUAGUUAAAUUCUCCAUUUUCAUAAAGUAUUGGUAAUAUAUUUGGGUUUUGACAUAUUUGAGUAUCUUGAGUAUGUAUAUGGAUUUUGAGAAUUUAUAUAUAUGUUUGGCUAUGUGUGGGGUACUUGGGUUGUUGAGAUGAGAUUUUGGAAAGUGAUGAGUAUAGAAUGUCGGAGUGCUAUAAGCACUACCCUAUGUACCUCCCCUUAUUUGGAACUUGGAUACGGAUACUUGAGAUACUCGGGGCAUCCUUGACGGGAUGUUGCUGUAGACCCUUGAUUGGGUAGUCUGCGCGCGUAUGACUAAUCACAGACGUACAAGUUUUGAGGGUAUCGACUGUACGUGCUGGCUGAGAGUUAGUCCCCCGGUUGGACGGCUCGUUCCCUAGUUACAUGGUGAAUUGAGGACUCUUCAUGGGGACUCUGCCAUGGUGACUAGUCAAACAAUCUCCCGGUUGGAUUGUUUCCCCGAUACAACUAGGUGUUGGUCAUAUUUAUAUUAUUAUUAUAUAUGUAUAUAUAUCUCUUAUUAUGUAUAAAUUUACAUAUGUAUAUAACUAUUUAUUUAUUCUUAUUUUUCGGUGAGGAUACUUCCUUGCCGGUCGUGCCAUUGGGUACGCUUUCGAGAGUCUGGUUUGGGACUUAUAAUAUUUAAUUGGUGGGUGUAACACCCCGAUCCCAAUUUUUUCCAAAUUUAACCCUUAUUUAAAUUAUUUAUUUAUUAAGGGUAUUUUGGUCAUAUUUUUAACCGGAGAGAGUUCGGGACCGUGACUGGUAUUUUUGGGUAGGUGGUACUGAGACGAAUUCGUAGACACGCGGUAGGCUCGAAUCGAAGUCGUAACGAAGAAGUUACAAUCAAAAUAUCGACAGUGGCAAAACUGUAAAUAUUUCGAAGUUUGGGUUAAAAAUAUCUGACUUUUCUCUCUCUCUCUCUCUCUCUCUCUCUCUCUCUCUCUCUCUCUCUCUCUCCCCCGCGCGAUCUCUCUCUCUCUCCCCCGCGCGAUCUCUCUCUCUCUCCCCGACGUCCGCUCUCUCUCUCCUCGAUGCUCUCCACUCCGGCCACGGCAGGACCCGAGACCGGUCCCGAUCGACUCGCCUCGCCGCCCCGACCAAGACCUGCCCGUUUUCCCCGUCGGAAACCACGGAUUCCGGCCGCGAGCUCGACUGGUUUGAACCGGGGUUUUCUCGCCGUCGCGCCGCCGCCUCCGCCGCCCAAACUCGGUGAUUAAGGUAUGGUUUCUCAUCCUUUUUACGAGUUCUAGCUGUUGGUUGUAUAGGUUUGGAUCGAUUUUGAGUGUAGAAAAUCGAUUGGGAAACCUAGGUUUUGGCCGGAUUUCAAAAUGAAAUUCCGGCCAGUUGCCGCCCGAAUUGGGCCUUCCCGUAGUUGAAGAAAGUGAUCCUGACCUCAGGUAGAAGCUAGGGUAGGAAUGGUGAGCUCGAGUGUGGAGUUUUUCCGUCGCCGGAAAUUACUCUACACACCCACGCGCUGCCGGCGCGUGUGGCGGCUCGUGGGCGAGGCUGGUGAGGCUGCAAAUUAACCCGAUGAGAUCCUUAGGUUGUCACGAGCGCGUAGGAUUUCGCGGAUCUCAAUUCGGACGUCGUUUGACUAUCGAACGGAUAUCGCCUAUUACGCGUUAUCCGGGUUCGAUAGGUCGGGACCGUUGGAUGGUCCCGAAAAUAAUAUAUGUUAAUCUAAGUAUUUCUAGGAUCGUGGGGGAAUUCACGGAUCGUGAAUCGGAGCCCCGGAUGUUCCGAUUUAUUAAAUUAAAUAUAUUAUUUUAUAUUAACCGUUAGAUCGUGCGAUCGCGAGCGAUCCGACCGUCCGAUCUGAACCAAACUUGCAGGACAAGUGUCCUAAAUCUUACAGCACUCAUAGGAACUCCCGGAUCGGAGUUUGGAGGUCGUGGUUCCCGUGGGCCCGUUUGACCAGGGUUAGGGCAGUUUGACCCUUGGUUGACCGUGAGUCUUCCGGAGUAAUCUCACCUUCCUAGGGGGAUUAUCUGGUGCUAGACUACUGUUGGGGUUUACGCAAUAUUAGAAUAUUUGUAUAUUCAUAGAAUUAGAACUAUAGGUUUGUACAAGGGUACAACCGAGUCUAGAAUGUCAGUUGGAGUGCUAUAUGCACUACUUUAAGUACCUUCCCGAAUUUUGGAUGUACUACGAGUACCACCAAGAGGAAGUUAGGUCCCACGUGGCGUAGGUUAUCCGGCGUGUGGACAGACCCCAUACGUGGCGUUGGUUGUACCGGCGUAUGGGGAGAUUUGUGGCAUUGUGUUGAGGUCGCACGUGGCGUAGGUUAUCCGGCGUGUCGACAGGCCCCAUACGUGGCGUUGGUUGUACCGGCGUAUGGGGAGUUAUGUGAUAUGACGUGUAGGUCUCACGUGGCGUAGGUUAUCCGGCGUUGAGACAGACCCCAUACGUGGCGUUGGUUGUACCGACGUAUGGGGAGAUAUUAUAGUAUGGUAUGGUCGCACGUGGCGUAGGUUAUCAGCGUGUUGACAGGCCCCAUACGUGGCGUUGGUAGUACCGGCGUAUGGGGAGAUUAUGUGAAAGACAGAGAAAUGAAUUGAGGUAUCGCCUAAGUGUAAAUUUGGGUUGUAAGGGAGAACUACGUGUGGCUUGAUCCCUCAAGGAGGGUACGUAGGCAGCCUAACGUUAUUAGGUGCAGCCGCAGACUAAAUAUUAGUCAUAAAGGGGUAUUUGAAUUGCUGGGUAGUUGGUUGAGAAUUAUUGGAAGACCGAAAGCCAUUUGUGUGAAUUGCAUGAAAUUAUAUUGUGCAUGCUGCCAGUUGAGAAUAUAAAUUGUGUUUUUAUGCAGGUAUGAAUUUUGGGAAAUGUCUAAUUUAUAGGGGAGACUCUGCCGAAUUUUCGGCAGAAAGUCCCGGUUUUUAGUGAGUGGGCCCGGCAUCGAGGUGAUGUCAGGAAUUCCAAAGGAUUUGUCUCGGAUUUUGGGAAAAUUCGGGGCGGGUCCUUUCAGUGGGUUUGUUUAGUGUUCUGUUUGGAUUUCGGACUUGGCAUUCCGGCAUUGGUUUGGUUUUGACCUAUAUAAAUAUUUAUUUGAUUUUGAUGAUUUUGAGAUGCUUUCGGAUUUUCUUGCUUGGUUUAUUAAACAGUGGGGUUAUAUUAUGUUGGUUUGCACUGAACUGAACUUUAUUUUUGUCCACUCACAUUUUUCUGUUUUGCGCCCCCAGCCAGUAGUCGACUGAGCUUCGCAGCUAGGCCGGAUCGUGUGCUCACGAGCCUUGAGCCAUCGUAGGAUUUCUUCAUCCUGUUUUCCUUGAACUUUGUUUCUGUUGUAUUUAAACUCCUUAGAUAUGCUCUGUUAUCGCCCUUGUAGGGUUGAUCUUUGAGGCCGGAGGCCUUUGUUGUAAACUGUUUAAUUGCUUUAAAGCAUGCUGCUGGUUGAGUACUUUAAACUGUGUUUUUGAGCAGGUUGAAUUUUUGGGGAAAUGCUCAAUUUACAGGGGAGACUCUGCCAAAAUUUUUGGUAGAAAGUCUCGAUUCUUAGUAAGUGGGCCCGGCAUCGGGAAGAUGUCGGUAACAAGACGGGAUUCGCUCCGGUUUUCGGGAAUUCCGGGGCGGGUCUUGUCAAAGAGCCUUUGAGCUUUGCGACUCCUUCUCCACUAUUGAUCCUCUGAUUGCUUCUCGAGGGACUGGAAAACGCCUUCUCCACUAUUGAUCCUCAUAUUGCUUCCUUGUCGGAAAAUGCCUUCCUCUCGCGCUUUGCAGUGACUUUCUUAGCCAUGGUCGUUGUUGGUAUGAGUAUGGUCAUUAAAAUCGUUGGUGGUGGUUGUAACCUCGUGGUCUCCGUUUGGGAUUGAAUCAAAGCUCGUAAUGCAGCUCCCAUAUAAAAUACAAAGGGUAAAAACGUUAUUCAAAUACAAAU
rnacentral:lncRNA from 1 species